UCGAGAACAACCUCUAAACCAUCCUACACCCCCACCCCAAGGGAAGGGCCGGAGAAGGCCGGGCUCUUUCUCACCCACCGUCGCUGAAGGACGGGCACCUCUAAAGUCGGGAAGCAGCGGCCACUCCAACUCCUCUCCGCGGCUUCGAGAGUGAUCGUGAGGGUGACGGCCCGGAACCCCGCGGAAGGAUACUGGCUAGGUGCCGUGGCCACAACACCUUGUGGUCAAGGAUCGCUGGAACCACAGAGGCAGCAAGUAGUAGCUCAGCAAAGCAACUUUAUUACUCCAGCUGCAAUGAGACUCUCCACCAUAUGUAUAACAUCCUUUUAUUUAUUUGGACUUUUACGUUCGUGAAUUUCAUAUACGUUUCUGCAUUGGGGACAGAAUUGCAAUAAAUUUCUCCCUUCCCUUUCCCACCAAA